GUUGUGAGGUUAAGCGACUAAGCGUACACGGUGGAUGCCCUGGCAGUCAGAGGCGAUGAAGGGCGUGCUAAUCUGCGAUAAGCGCCGGUAAGGUGAUAUGAACCGUUAUAACCGGCGAUACCCGAAUGGGGAAACCCAGUGUGAUUCGUCACACUAUCAUUAACUGAAUCCAUAGGUUAAUGAGGCGAACCGGGGGAACUGAAACAUCUAAGUACCCCGAGGAAAAGAAAUCAACCGAGAUUCCCCCAGUAGCGGCGAGCGAACGGGGAGGAGCCCAGAGCCUGAAUCAGCAUGUGUGUUAGUGGAAGCGUCUGGAAAGGCGCGCGAUACAGGGUGACAGCCCCGUACACAAAAGCGCAUGUGCUGUGAGCUCGAUGAGUAGGGCGGGACACGUGGUAUCCUGUCUGAAUAUGGGGGGACCAUCCUCCAAGGCUAAAUACUCCUGACUGACCGAUAGUGAACCAGUACCGUGAGGGAAAGGCGAAAAGAACCCCGGCGAGGGGAGUGAAAAAGAACCUGAAACCGUGUACGUACAAGCAGUGGGAGC
rnacentral:rRNA from 1 species